GUGGGUAUAGAUCAGUGGUAGAAUGUGUGCUUAGCAUGCACGAGGUCCUGGGUUCAAUCCCCAGUCCCUCCA
rfam:Camelus ferus unplaced genomic scaffold scaffold958, whole genome shotgun sequence.